AGAGGAGAGGAGGGAGGGGAGGAGGAGGAGGAGGAGGAGGAGGAGGUGGGGUGAGUGGUUCUCCCGGGGGCUGGAUUUGGUAGGAUGCAAGCCUUCUAUUGGACAGGAGGGGACAAGAGCUAGCCCAAGGUUUUCAAUUGGUCCAAUAGCUUUGCUGUUGCUUGAUGAAAGAAAAAGGCUGAGUUGGAAACAAGCUUCAAUGGCUCCACACCCACUUCCACGUUAGUAGAGAUUUUUUUGGGGCACACAUCAGCAGCACAUGCGGAUGCUUAAUGGGCUCACCCACCGACAUUUUACUAGCACCCCACGCUAGCUCACCUCCUUUCUGAGAUUCUAGAAAACCCAGCAUGUCUUUGUGUGUGAUUGUGCAAGAAAGAAAGCAAAGAAAGGGAAAGGGUGAAGCAAGAAAGGGGAGAAUCUGAUCAAUUUGGACAAUUCGAACUAGUCUUGCUGCAAUAUUUGAAUUUCUAAGAGGAAGGUUGGACUACUUCCAUUCCAUGAGAACAUCUUGGAGUCCUGACCGGACAAAAUACAGGUAAUCCUAUUAUCCUAGUAGAGUAAGCUCGGUUGUUCAUGUUCAAACAAAAGAAUUAUUUUAAUGGUUAAAUCUCCAAUGAUUUAUCCUUAAGAAUUGUAAACUCAUUCGGGGUUUGGUAGUGACAUUGAUUACAGUGCUAAAGAAUAUAUUUUUUGGUACUCCGGUCCAUGCAGCUGCUCCCUUUUGGUGCCAUGAAACCUCACUCUUGCAUUCUUUCUGUUGCAUGAGGCCAAAGAUAAUACCACCAGAUCUACUACAGUUAAAAGUGCUUAUGUGCUCCAUUAAAAAGGGAACUAGUACUGCAAGCAUGGUAUCCAAAGUGAUCACUAACAAUCCUGAAAGGCAAUUUUGCUAGCUAGUAGAUUAUAUGCAGGGUUUAUGUUACCGCAAACAGCUUCAAAACCGCCGUCCGGCGAAGCAAGAUCAUCAUGAUUUUUCACGGUUUUGCAUGGUUUCUCUCUGCGGUAGUCACGGUAACGGUGACAGAAAUGCCAUCGGUUUCGUCUACCCUGAUUACAUUACAUGUGUUUGCAGAAUUUCUGACAUUUUCUCUCUAGCAACAUAUAUAUGGAGCAUGAAAACAUUUUUCCUAACAGCGUAUAACUAUUUUACAUGAAAGCUACAUGUGUGUUGAUGUACACACUUCACCCUAUAUGUCACAUUUUAGCCAUGUUUCUUCAUUUGUGGUGCAGAUAACAAAUGCUGGAAACAGAGUAGUAGUAGGAACAGAUGGAGAGGCUCCUGGCCUUGGCCUUGCAUGUGGAGCAUGGAAAAGUGAGUAGCUAGGAAUUGAUUGGUGGAAAUAACUCCUAGAGGUUAGGUUAGUUUUCUCCUCCUUGUUGGGUGCAGCUGAGUGGCCAGUCCCAUAGUACAGAGAUCUGGUAUCUUUGUCAAGGCCAGGAAGCCUUAAAUGCAUCCAUCAACCACCACUCAUGCUAGCCUCUCUCUCUUUCUCUGCUUGCUUGCACCUACACCAUCCAAUCCAGUCCAGUGCAUGAGUGACCAGACCAGCCAGCCCCCUACAAAACACCAGGCCACACAGCUGAGCAGUGAUGAGUAGGAGUAGGAGGCAGGACCUCCUCAUCAGUAAUGUCACCCUCUUUUCCUCCCUGGAACUGCGUCAUGGACCCGGCCCUCAUGCACAACAAUUCCAUCCUCUCCAGUUUCACAAUACUAGUAGUAUUAUUUAUUUGUAGGUAUUGAACUAUCAACGCUUCAAUAUUUGUCUAUUGAGAAAACCAAUACUCUCUCCGUCUUAGAACAAAAUAAUUUCAUCAUCGCCUCCUUUUAUUUGUCCUAAAAUAUAUUUAUUUUUUUAUCAAAUCAUUGCAUUAGAAUUUGUGAAAGUAAGGAACACAUGAUUUGUAAUUAUAUAUAUUGGAUAACAAUUGCAUUGAGAUUUGAUAAAAUGGGGGGUAUUAUAGUUUUAUUGGUUUUGUAUUGGUAUGUAUGGAUGGGUGAUAAAUGAAGUUAUUUUGAAACAGAGGGAGCACAUAGUGGUUGCAAAAUUCUCACCCUUUAUUCUUAAUGCCAUGAAACUGAUUAUAUUAUGGGUUUCAUGGGGGCAUAUAUGUGGGGUGAUUGUUGGUUUUUUUUGGAAAAAAAAGGUCAA